GACGAACGCUGGCGGCGUGCUUAACACAUGCAAGUCGAACGGAAAGGCCCUGCUUUUGUGGGGUGCUCGAGUGGCGAACGGGUGAGUAACACGUGAGUAACCUGCCCUUGACUUUGGGAUAACUUCAGGAAACUGGGGCUAAUACCGGAUAGGAGCUCCUGCUGCAUGGUGGGGGUUGGAAAGUUUCGGCGGUUGGGGAUGGACUCGCGGCUUAUCAGCUUGUUGGUGGGGUAGUGGCUUACCAAGGCUUUGACGGGUAGCCGGCCUGAGAGGGUGACCGGCCACAUUGGGACUGGGAUGCGGCCCGGACUCCUCCGGGCGGCAGCGGUGGGGAAUAUUGCACAAUGGGCGAAGCCUGAUGCAGCAACGCCGCGUGCGGGAUGACGGCCUUCGGGUUGUAAACCGCUUUCGCCUGUGACGAAGCGUGAGUGACGGUAAUGGGUAAAGAAGCACCGGCUAACUACGUG
rnacentral:rRNA from 1 species